UGCGUGUGAUCACUCCACGAUCUGAUCACUCGUUCUUAAAGAAAGGAGGAUCGUUCCGCCGGCUCGCGGUGCGGCAGUGUGGAGACCUGUCGUAAUGCGGCGCGCUCCCAGCGGGCGGCUGCGAGGUAUCCGGGAGGAGUCCCGGCUAUCAGAGCCUGACAAUAUGUC
rnacentral:ncRNA from 1 species